GGGGGUGUGGCUCAGCUGGGAGAGCGCUUGCUUCGCAUGUAAGAGGUCGCCGGUUCGAAUCCGGUCAUCUCCACCA
rnacentral:tRNA from 1 species